rnacentral:ncRNA from 1 species
CGGACAAGUCGCGGGCGCCUCCUUGGAGCGCAAUUCCCCCCGCGCAGCGGGUAGAAUCCUUUGCAGACGACUUAAAUACGCGACGGGGUAUUGUAAGUGGCAGAGUGGCCUUGCUGCCACGAUCCACUGAGAUUCAGCCCUUUGUCGCUUCGAUUAGU